GAUGCGGGGGGCCUGGCUUUAGUCCUUUCGCCUUUGCCCAUGGGAUGAGUAUGCAGCCCCAAGUUCAUAAUCCAGGGCAAUCACUUCCUAUUCCAUUAUCAGCUAAUCAGUCUCGCCAACAGAUGUUAUCUCAAAACAUUCAGAAUAACAUUCCAUCUGCUGGAGUUCAAAGCACUGCCAGUUUGCCAUCUGCACUGCCUCCUGUCUCUGGUUUAAGUCAGAAUCCUUUCCCAAAUGUUGUUGGCCAGAAUACCAAUGUGCAGAAUAUGCCUGGUUCACAGAACUCAGUAGAAGUGCAAUGAAUAUCACAUUGAAACUGCGAAGUAUGUGGGAGCUCUAAUUGUAACUUGUCCUUUUGGGAUAUUGUGUAGAUGUAAAACAUCCCCAUGUGGUGACAUUAGUAGCUUACUUUAACAUAAGACUAGGUCCAGCACAACCAGUAAUCAUGUGAAAGACUAAGUUUCCAUUUCAGAUUGCUUACUUUUAAAAGUGCUAUCCGUUUUAAUUA